CAGUCGAACGGGGAUAGCAAUAUCCUAGUGGCGAACGGGUGAGUAACGCGCGAGUAACCUGCCUCAUACAACGGGAUACCUGAGGGAAACUUCAGUUAAUACGGUAUAAGACCACACUGCCGCAUGGCAGAGGGGUAAAAGGAGCAAUCCGGUAUGAGAUGGACUCGCGUCGCAUUAGCUAGUUGGUGAGGUAACGGCCCACCAAGGCGACGAUGCGUAGCCGACCUGAGAGGGUGAUCGGCCACAUUGGGACUGAGAUACGGCCCAGACUCCUACGGGAGGCAGCAGUGGGGAAUAUUGGGCAAUGGAGGAAACUCUGACCCAGCAAUGCCGCGUGAAUGAAGAAGGUCUUCGGAUUGUAAAGUUCUUUAGUCAGGGAAGAAAAAAAUGACGGUACCUGAAGAAUAAGCUCCGGCUAACUACGUGCCAGCAGCCGCGGUAAUACGUAGGGAGCAAGCGUUGUUCGGAAUGACUGGGCGUAAAGGGUGCGUAGGCGGUUAUACAAGUUAGAAGUGAAAUACCCAGGGCUUAACUCGGGUGCUGCUUCUAAAACUGUAAGACUUGAGUACAGUAGAGGUUAGUGGAAUUCCUAGUGUAGCGGUGGAAUGCGUAGAUAUUAGGAGGAACACCAGAGGCGAAGGCGGCUAACUGGACUGAAACUGACGCUGAGGCACGAAAGUGUGGGGAGCAAACAGGAUUAGAUACCCUGGUAGUCCACACUGUAAACGAUGGAUACUAGAUGUAGGAGGUAUCGACUCCUUCUGCGUCGCAGUUAACACGAUAAGUAUCCCGCCUGGGGAGUACG
rnacentral:rRNA from 1 species